rnacentral:rRNA from 1 species
CCUACGGGCGGCAGCAGUGAGGAAUAUUGGUCAAUGGACGAGAGUCUGAACCAGCCAAGUAGCGUGAAGGAUGACUGCCCUAUGGAUUGUAAACUUCUUUUAUAUGGGAGUAAAAUGUUCCACGUGUGGGGUUUUGUAUGUACCAUAUGAAUAAGCAUCGGCUAACUCCGUGCCAGCAGCCGCGGUAAUACGGAGGAUUCGAGCGUUAUCCGGAUUUAUUGGGUUUAAAGGGAGCGUAGGUGGGUUGUUAAGUCAGUGGUGAAAGUUUGCGGCCCAACCUUAAAAUUGCAGUUGAAACUGGUAGUCUUGAGUAAAGUAGAGGUGGGCGGAAUUCGUGGUGUAGCGGUGAAAUGCUUAGAUAUCACGAAGAACUCCGAUUGCGAAGGCAGCUUACUGGCCUGCAACUGACGCUGAGGCACGAAAGUGUGGGUAUCAAACAGGAUUAGAUACCCUGGUAGUC